UAUUCCUGCUAUUCCUACGGGCAAUAUGCGCGCAGUCUGACUGUGUCUUUCCGUGGUUUCGCUGAACAAAGGUCGUGAAUUUUGCGAUCUGAUUUUUAGCGCUCGUCGGCUUUCUCAACUUUUAAGCCAUUAUAAAAAUUGUUGAAUUUUUCUGUAGUAAAAUGUGAACUUUGGAUGCUAAAAUAGUUUCAAAUAUUGGCUUUUUAUUUUCUAGCUUUUACAUCAGUAAUUUGCUUCGUUUUUGGGUUAUUGCAAGCUAUAUAAAACUUUUCAUUUGUGCUACUUGAAAAUAUUUUUCAGGACACUAAUAAUAUAAAUGGAAUGAACAGUGCUGGGUUUUGACUGCAGAAUAUUUUCCUGUGCAAUGGACCCAUGUUGACAUAUUAGUUGAAAAACAAAUUGAAUAAAAUGUCUGCUACAGUAGAUGGAUCUUCUAACAGUGUGUCCACCACUCAACUCCAUUCCCACAACAAGAGACCCGUUAUCCUAAUAUAUCCUACUGUUUCACCUGAAACGGUGGUAAUUCCAAUUAUUUCCUGCAUCUUCGGCUUCCCGCUUUUGGCCCUGCUGGUCAUCUGCUGUCUGCGCAGAAGAGCCAAGCUGGCACGCGAACAAGCGCGCAGAAGAAACAUGGACUUUGAUCACGGUACUUUCUCUAUUGUCAGGUUCAGCUCUUUAGACUAUUUAGGACGAUCACGAGCCAUCAGUCUUCGCUCUGAACGAGGAAUGAGUCGCGGAUUUCCUUCAUUGGAACUGGAUACGGUAAUUGAAGAACGUUCUGAGCCGGAAGCUGAGCAAACCGUAGUGGAGCUGAUGACCCCAGAUGGGGAUAGCAAACCGAUUCCCGCCAGAUAGCAAGAACAGAAUACGGACGGAUGUUCUGAAAGAUCACCAUUAUGGAGUGCUCUGACCCACGCCCAGGCUUUUUCCAUAGACGUGGAUAGCUGACAGGAUCAGUCGGAUCAGUUUCAGCCAACUGAUCCGGUGAUACCCCAAAUGAUUCCCCUUCCCUUCAUUAAAGGGCAUUAGAACAUGUUUUGAUGCAAUUUUUUACAUUUUGCUUCUUCACAGUUUAGUGAAAAUCAUAAAAGGAGCGUAUACAACGGUGGUUCAUUAAGAAUGGAAGGAUUGCGCGCCCAAAACAUCAUUAUCUAUUCAAUUUGAGCUAUGCAAAUGUUGCCGAUGUACGAGCGAACGGAAAUUUAUUUGCCGAAUUCCAUAAACAUUCCAUAAAAAACAUGUUUGUAACAUUGUGCCGUUUUCAGUUUGAUUCUUGACCAACUUAAAGAAACUUAAACGUUCCCCACUUAUAAUAAGUAACGUUCAAAUCACCCUGUCGAUUGAUUGAGCCGAACUUAUUACGAAAGAAGGCCGUUCCAAACAGAUUAUGCAAAUUAUGUUUUCUCGUAAUUUCGCGCGAAAGCAUCAACGGAUAUUAUCUGAAAUUUUCAGUCGGCUGAAAGUACGAAGUGAAAACUUUUUAUCUCAACAGUGAUAUAAUUUUCGGGUUUCUUGUGGUCCUCAAGACAGAAAAGCGUCCGGUUUUAGACAAAACUAUUUUUACAAGUUACUUGUACUGGAAAUUAAAAUGUUAGUUUCCAUUCCUACUUCUUGAAUACUAAAAGAAAUAUGUAUUUCGUAUUUUUAAAAAGUUAUUUUUUCGAAAAUCAAGUUUGAGCAACAUUUCUCCAAAAGAGAAAUGUGCUUUCAAAUGAAAUUCCUAAUGCCAUAAACAAGUUUAUUGAAAUUGAAGAUUAUUUUCGCAUCCAUUAAACAUGUUUGUAAAAUAUGCGGCUUGACUACUAUAAGACCUUACGGUUUUUUAAUUAAUUAAUUACUACGCUGAAAAUGUGGAAUAUUAUUUAACGCCGUCUCGGCUAUUUUCAAACACGUACUCUUUUAUAUGUGUCAAGGCUUCUAACAAUCAAAAAAGCUAGGUAUUAAUUAUAACUAGGUUCUGUGAAAAUAAGUUAUUUCAGUCAUAUAUGUGGUCAAGCGCCAUCAACUUAAGCAUAGUUUGUCAAGGUUUUGAUUUACAAAAAACUAUUACGGUGGGAAAAGUUGUAACAAUUUGAGUCCAUGAGAAAUGAAUAAAAUGCAUUUUCCAGCAGAUUCAGCGAUUCGAAAAUGUGCACAAUAUUAAAAAUAAAUAGAAAUACAUCGAGUGUCCCAAUAUAUUACAACAACUAUAACGGAAAUGGUAAUGGUAAUAAUGAAAAUAAUAAACUGCCUACAAAAUAUGCAUAAAAAUGUUUGAGUAAGUGACCGCAAUUUCGUUUGCUUUUUAUCGAAAGAAAUAAUUUUAUUAUUAUAUUAUUGCAAAAUUCUGAAAAAAAUGUUAUAAACAACUGCCCGACUUCCCAUUGAAAGAUCCGUUUCUUCACACAAAAAAUCACAAAUCAAGGCAAAACGGCGUUCAUUGGAACAUAUUUUUUCUGCAUUAAAAUGAAAGACCUCAACAGUGCACGUCUUAAAUACGAGCACCACUUUAGACAACACUCUGUAUAGGAAUUUGCCCAUUCUUAAUGAGCCACUGUAUAGACACGAAAGUUGAAUCCUUAUAAGACCAAAAUUAAUUAAUUGACCAAAUUUUGCAGGUUGUUAUUUUUUCAAGAGUGAUAGAUACAAGGGGACAAGCAACGUUUCCUACGCAAAGCAAUUAGCUGAAAAAAUCUGCAUUAUACAUGUGCUAUUAGAACCAAAAUUACUAGAUCUACCUCUCUGCUGAGUGUUAUUUAUACUAAUUGGCAAGUUAGACGAAAAUGCACAUUACAUACAUUGCAUUUUACAUACCCACACAGAAAUUAAGAACCAAAUCUAUGAAUUUGUUGAGAAAUUCUUAGAUUUAUUUUAAUGUAAUUCUUUAGAACCUAAAACAUCCUCUAUUGGAAGUUAAAUAUCAUUCAUAACUCAUAGGAAGAUAAUCAUUCAUAACACAUAUCACAUUCAUUUCCUCCACUCUUAUGGUAGUGGUAACCACAAUCAAGCAAAUCAACCAUAUAUUGUAAAUAUAAAACAUAUUUUUUAAGAAAGCUCCCUUGCACCGACUGUAUGCCAUUGAUGUAUGUAGCGUAAAUUACUACUUUUAUUAGAAUCUGCAAGUGUAAAUCAAUGCUCGAUUAGAAUAUUUUGUUAUAAAUAAAUGUUGAGAAGUA